rnacentral:rRNA from 1 species
GACGAACGCUGGCGGCGCGCCUAACACAUGCAAGUCGAACGAGCGAGAGAGAGCUUGCUUUCUCAAGCGAGUGGCGAACGGGUGAGUAACGCGUGAGGAACCUGCCUCAAAGAGGGGGACAACAGUUGGAAACGACUGCUAAUACCGCAUAAGCCCACGACCCGGCAUCGGGUAGAGGGAAAAGGAGCAAUCCGCUUUGAGAUGGCCUCGCGUCCGAUUAGCUAGUUGGUGAGGUAACGGCCCACCAAGGCGACGAUCGGUAGUCGGACUGAGAGGUUGAACGGCCACAUUGGGACUGAGACACGGCCCAGACUCCUACGGGAGGCAGCAGUGGGGAAUAUUGCACAAUGGGGGAAACCCUGAUGCAGCGACGCCGCGUGGAGGAAGAAGGUCUUCGGAUUGUAAACUCCUGUUGUUGAGGAAGAUAAUGACGGUACUCAACAAGGAAGUGACGGCUAACUACGUG